GCCGUUCCAAGAUGCUGUCAAAAUUAAAUCAAUAUGGCUACCGGAAGGCAAACAUUGAAUAUUAUUCUAUCAGGUUCUUAUGGUUUUAGAUCAUUUUAGUUGUUGUACAAAGAUUAAUUUAACAUUUUCUCUGGAAGUAUUAAUUUAGAAAGAUAAUAUGCCUCAUUGGUGUUGUGUUUUGAAGUGUGAAAUGCAAAGUAAUCGUGAUAAAGUUAGCUUUUACCACUUACCAUCAGUGCUACAUUCUAAGCACAAAACUGAACCAAUUUAACUAAAUAAGUUAUAGUUAUCAUCUGAGAGACAACAACAAUGGUAAAAUGCAAUAAAAUAUUAAGAUUUUACUAGCAAAAUGGAAAUUCCCCUGUAAUCAUCUUAUAUCUGGUAAGUUACAACAUUUGAACAUUAACCAUUUUUGAAGAUGUUAACAGUCUAAUCUUGUAGGAAAACCAGCCGACUUAACUGAUAAUAACAAUCCAGAUUGGGUUCAUUCAAUACAUAUGGGGUAUAUAAACACAAUGAAAUGAGUUCCCCAAAAUCUAAAAUGGGAAUUAAGGUACCAAAGGAGAAUUAAAAGAAAAGGGUACCUACAAGAAAAAAUUGCUUUUUUAUUCCUCUUGAAAUGAUUUAUAAGACACUGGACUGUCUUAUAUUCUACAAAUACUAGAAUCAGCUGAGAGAAGUGGUCUACAAAAACCCAGGAAGGAAACGGAAUAUGUGGCUACGAAAGGCAAAAGAAAGGUUUACAAAGCAAAUGUGACACAUUUUUUUGAAAUAUUUAGGAAUAUCAGUAAAUUGCAUUAAAAAAAUGUAUGAAAAGAUUUUGUUCAAUAAAAAUGUUUAUAUUUA